UUUCUCUUUUUCUUCUCCCCCAUUGCUACGUCGUCCACUUUCUCUCCUUUUAUUCUUCAUUUUCGUUUCCUCCUUCUCCUUAUUUCAGUGCAUUUCUUCUCCCUUUUUCAGUUGGCUGUAGCGUCGGCUAUUGCUUUUCUUCUUCUCCUUCACUUAUUUCUUCUUCUGUCGUGCCUCGCCUGCUCCUUCUUCCUCUUCAUUCUGUUUUCUUCGAUUUCGUGCGCCGGAUUUACUUCAUUUGGAUUGGCGAAUCCGUGGGUCUUGCUAUGUUUUUUGGCCCAUUUUCAUGCUCGGUUUUCCUCUAGUAUUUUCGUGGGUUCUUGCUUGUGUUUUAUUCCCAUUUCAUUCUCAAUUGUUUGGUCAUCCAUUUGUCUAUUUUCGUUCAUGCCGUGCCACUGUUUUUGGUCUCUAUCGAUUUUAAUACAGAUGAUGAGAAAGCUGAGCCUGAGGAGGCAGUUCAGCUUGAAGAGUGAUUUGGUACCACUUGCUUACUUAUUGGAAAUUAUUUUCCUGGUUUUGAAUUAUAUAUUUUGGAUUAUGAUGUUGUUACUGGAUAAUUGUACUAUUUUUUUUAUACUCUUGUAUUUAAGCGAAUUUAUAUUUAAACAAUUCUGGUAUUUACUUGAUUGACUUUAA